UACGUAGGGGGCAAGCGUUGGUCCGGAUUUAUUGGGCGUAAAGAGCGUGUAGGCGGCCAGGUAGGUCUGCUGUGAAAACUCGAGGCUCAACCUCGAGACGUCGGCGGAAACCAUCUGGCUAGAGUCCGGAAAGAGGAGAGUGGAAUUCCUGGUGUAGCGGUGAAAUGCGCAGAUAUCAGGAGGAACACCAAUGGCGAAGGCAGCACUCUGGGACGUGACUGACGCUGAGACGCGAAAGCGUGGGGAGCAAACAGG
rnacentral:rRNA from 1 species